rnacentral:rRNA from 1 species
GACGAACGCUGGCGGCGUGCUUAACAAAUGCAAGUCGAACGGAAAGGCCCUGCUUUUGUGGGGUGCUCGAGUGGCGAACGGGUGAGUAACACGUGAGUAACCUGCCCUUGACUUUGGGAUAACUUCAGGAAACUGGGGCUAAUACCGGAUAGGAGCUCCUGCUGCAUGGUGGGGGUUGGAAAGUUUCGGCGGUUGGGGAUGGACUCGCGGCUUAUCAGCUUGUUGGUGGGGUAGUGGCUUGCCAAGGCUGUGACGGGUAGCCGGCCUGAGGGGGUGACCGGCCACAUUGGGACUGGGAUACGGCCCAGACUCCUACGGGAGGCAGCAGUGGGGAAUAUUGCACAAUGGGCGGAAGCCUGAUGCAGCAACGCCGCGUGCGGGAUGACGGCCUUCGGGUUGUAAACCGCUUUCGCCUGUGACGAAGCGUGAGUGACGGUAAUGGGUAAAGAAGCCCCGGCUAACUACGUG